GUAGGGAGCAAGCGUUGUCCGGAUUUACUGGGUGUAAAGGGUGCGUAGGCGGCUUUGCAAGUCAGAUGUGAAAUCUAUGGGCUCAACCCAUAAACUGCAUUUGAAACUGUAGAGCUUGAGUGAAGUAGAGGCAGGCGGAAUUCCCCGUGUAGCGGUGAAAUGCGUAGAGAUGGGGAGGAACACCAGUGGCGAAGGCGGCCUGCUGGGCUUUAACUGACGCUGAGGCGCGAAAGCGUGGGUAGCAAACAGGAUUAGAUACCCUGGUAGUCCACGCUGUAAACGAUGAUUACUAGGUGUGGGGGGUCUGACCCCUUCCGUGCCGGAGUUAACACAAUAAGUAAUCCACCUGGGGAGUACGGCCGCAAGGUUG
rnacentral:rRNA from 1 species